rnacentral:lncRNA from 1 species
UAGUUGCUGAUUCCCACCCCCCCAAAGUAGGAAAACCAAAGAUGUCAUGAAAAAUUCUCCUUGUCUAAAACCCAUUGGAAAAAGAAGGGGAAGACAGAGUAGGAACUUUUACAGGUCACUUUGAAAAUUUACCUCUUAAUUUCACUUAUAAACUUUAGAAAGUUUGAUUCUCAGACAUUAACAACUGUUUUUAAAAUUUACAUUUGGAUGGGGCACCUGGGUGGCUCAGUAGGUUGAGCAGCUGCCUCUUGAUUUCAGCUCAGGUCAUGAUCUCAGGGUCCUGGGAUCAGGUUCUACCUUCAGUGAGGAGUCUGCCUGGGAUUCUUUCCCCCUCUCUGCCCCCACCCCCUUCACAAGUGCUCUUGCUCUCUCAAAGCUUUAAAACUCACUAUUGGAUAUUACACAGAUCUUACUUUAAUAAGUAAGAUCUACUUAUCUUAGAAUGCUGGGGAUAGCCUUCUAUUUGAUUGAGUUUUUAAGUAGAAUAAGUACUAAUUUGAAUUCUAAAAAUAGCCCUUACCUACAAAUUACAAGUUAAAUUUUUAGCAAAAUUCUCUUUCCCAUAUUUUCUAAUGUAGAUGGAGAAGAAAGUAUACUUUAAUACUUUAAUAUCCUCUGCCAUGUAUCAGGAUACUUAUGUGAAUUCUUUGUGUUUUCUAAUGCCUUUAAACCUAAGACAAAUGUGCUAGCAAAUUCAUCUGGAUUCUUUUCAUUGCUAAUGAUUAAAACCACAUUAUUGGGUUUUGGCAGAGGGGAUAGAAUAUAUAGAUCAAUGAGGGUUAAGCACUUCUCACCCUUGGGAUGGGAAUAUAUGGACCUGAGAAGAGGCAUUUCUCCAAAGAAAAUCAUGGUGUUAAGAGGGAAAAAGAAUGGCAACAGACAAGAAUGAGGCACCAUGCUUUAACAAUAAUACUGGUUCUCUAAUUGACUUUAGGAAUUUAUUGAUGAAGGUAUAAAAGCCCAAAACACAGAAAGUCUAAAGUAAAAGUUUCAGCAUUCAUAUCACAGGAUGAGUUUUUGCCAUUGUAGACUAUGCUUUUAAAGAGAAUUUCUUUUCUUAUGUGAAACUACUAGGUUCGGGUACAUGGGUCCAGUGGAGCAUUAAACACUUAAGGCCGUGAAUUCGAGCCCCAUGUUAGGUGUAGAGAUUACUUUAAAAUGUUUUUUUAAAAACUAUUGGUUUCAAACAAAUUCAGCCCCUGCAGAAAGCAAAAUAUACUUUAUACAGAGAUUCCAGUUAUAUUAGAUUGUAAUACCUCAACCAGUAUUCUCUUGUAGUGGGCUUUGAAGCCAAGAAAGUUGUUACAGGUAAGUGACUUGAAAUUUGUUGUCUUCCAUUUCUACUAAUGACUAAAACUAGUAAGGAAGAUAAACAAUACACAUGCGUUUAUAAAGGAUUUCUCGAAUUUAGUAUUCAAUUAAAAUUACGUUAAUAAAAUGUGCCGUAGACUAACCUAGUAUCUUCCAGGGCACCUGGGUACUAGGCUGGUGGACAACAUUGUAAAGUUCCUCAAGCCUGGAGGGCCAGAGUUCCUGAAAUUCUUGAGAAGGUGCUUGAGCAUCAGCCUUGUCAUUGUUGACCGUGAUUGUCAAUCACUAUUGUUGUUUUUUUUUUUUUUAAUAUUUGUAUUUAUUUAUUCAUGAGAGACACAGAAAGGGAGAGAAAGAGAGAGACAGGCAGGCAGGCAGGCAGAGGGAGAAGCAGGCCCCAUGCAGAGAGCCGGACGUGGGACUCGAUCCCGGGUCUCCAGAAUCCAGGCCCUGGGCUAAACCACUGGAACCACCCGGGCUGCCCUAUUUUUGGGGUUUAAUUAUAAAUUGUUGCUAACAUCAGCUUCAGGAUUUUAGUUACAAUGGGGGGGUGGGUUGUUUGGUUAACCCUAUAUCCGUAGCCAAGACAUCUUUGCAUCAAAAAUAUUUGGGCCUAAAACUUUCAAUAGCCAUACCAAGGUGGGUUUGUAAACUUUUAAAAAUGACUGAAGAAAACAAAUUUAGGUGAUUCAAGUACACACUUUUUGAAGUGUAGGCAGUCUCCAUUCUCAAGGGUCCAGGGAACUGCAAAAUGCAGUAAGCGGCAAGAAGCUUUCAUGGGAUGAAGAAUAAAGAACAAGUAUCAGAGCCCAGAGUUGGCUUGGCAUUUGGGGAUUGGCUGGCUGGCUGGAUAUACUGUGUUUCUGACCAAGUGGAACAUUUAUGGCGACAUGGACAUGAAGUUUUGGUUAGGUGUUAAGGCACAUAGCCUGAACAGAGUCCAUCUUGGACCUAAAAAUUUAUUUCUGUAGCUCUUUGUCCCUACUUUUGAUCAUCCUCCUGACAAUUCAAAAAGUUUGAUCAAAAAUAACAUGACUGUCAAUUACCAUUGGCUCUUCAGGUCUCACUGUAGUAUUCAGAAAAGAUGUCAGGCUUUUUUUUUUUUUUUUUUUUUUACGAUUUUAUUUAUUUAUUCAUGAGAAACAAGCAGAGGGAAAAGCAGGCUCCAUGGAAAGAGCCCGAUGUGGGACUCGAUCCCUGACCCCAGGAUCACACCCUGAGCCACCCCGGUGUCCCUAGGCUUGUAUUCUUGAGGCUGGAAAUGUUCUUGCAUUCUCUUGUUUUAUUCAGAUAGAUGAUCUAUUAGCUAGUAAGUGGCUGCUCACAUGCAUUUAAAACUUCUCAAAGAACACAGCAUAUUAGAGAGGCACUAAUUCUUAUCAAAACAAUGCCUAUGGUUUGCAGAGUGCUCCAGGGUCAAGGUUCCUAUUGAUGUGGGAUGGCAAGCAAAAUGGCCAAAGAAUUCUUGAGAUUAUUUUGAUGCAAAAUAGUGCUUUUAUUAUAGCUCAGGAACAGGAAGGACCCUUGCACAGAAAAGGCUUUUUGCUGUAGGAAGCUGGUGGUUGGUUAUAGGCCUAGUGCUCAAGGGGGAGGGCAUGUGCAGGCAGUAUUAGAUCAUAAAUGUCUUUGAUUUUUUACUUGUAAAACUACUUUCACAAGAUUCCUCUGGUGGUUAUCAUUUAGCUCAGAAUUAACUAUUGGUGAGAUGUACAGUCAUAAGAUCCUUUAAGAAUGUAGCAAUCAGUUCAUAUUUGAUCCUUAUCAAAACUAUGCAGGUUAUAGGUCAUCCUUUUGGGCUAAAGGUGAAUGUUUUUCUGCUUCUAUCCCUCAUCACUAUGUCCCAAACCAACUAGAAAUCAAGGAGUGAUCUUAUAGAGGGGGCUCUUUAAGCCAGUUGACCUGCUUAAGUAUUCCAGCUAAUUGUCUACUUCCUUAGAACUGUUGAUCCAGUGAAUUUGUUUCAGAGAAAGUGAGGCACUGGAAAUCGGGGAAGUCUGUGACAAGUAUAGAGAACUACGAAUCACUAGCCUGACGACAAAUCCAAUAGUUGGAGGUUGCAUUACUUCCUUUGUAAUGGCCUGAGCUGUGUGUGUAAUAAUAUCCUCCUUGCCAGCCAGAACAAAGCAAAAAGGUGGACAAAAGAAUCAUUAAAAUCUUCAUGAUACAACAAUUAGAAAAAGGGUGGUCAGAGAGGGAAGAAGGAAUGGAGGAACAGUUCUUGCUGUGGUGUGCUGGGAGGAAAUGCUUUAGGAAGAAAAGCAGACCUUUAGAUAGUCAAUUUGAUUUUGAAUCUCAGGUGUUUACAUAAGACCAGAUGCCAGAAGGAACCUUCAUGACAAAAGACAAAUUUGAUUAAAGGUCGAAUGAUGAUUCAUUAUAAUGGAAUUAUUUCUGUGAUAAAACAUUUUAAGAUAAUGGGAAUUAUGAGUAAUAACAUACCAGUAUAUAUCCAAGUUUUUAGGAAUUUAAGGUGAUUUCUGAAACGUUUAACAGUUCAGAACAUCAAGACUAAUUAGUUAAACUUUUAUUCUAAUUCCUUAUAAAAAAAAAAAUCUUUUGAAAUGCCCAGUAGUCAAAAAGACUUUGUUUAGAAUUUGAUUUGGGGGAAAUCUUGUCAAAGAUACCCAUUUAACUGAAGUGACUUUAAAGGCAAAUAACAGAAAGCUACAUAGAUUUUUUAAAAAACUUUAGUUCUUGUAAUAAUGAGAAGACUGGGUUAAAUACUUGAAGACCUGCUAAAGACACCAUGAGGCAUGGUCAUUAUUUUUGUAAGACAUAAAUUCUUUAACCUACCUAUACCUGGGUAGAUUCUUUACUGUAAGAAAACUCUACUUUUGAUAUUAAAACUCAUUUUUAAAAAAUGAGGUAGGUAAAGUUUUCCAUUAAUUUUAGUUUUCCCUUGACUGAGGAAUCACUGGUAGCAGUUUAUAGAAUCUCUCAGAGUCCCAUCAACCCUAACCUGGUGGAUGGAAUCUCGAAGUCCCUCCUUUCAGAGUAGAUAUAGGGGAAUUCAAAUUUGAUAAAAACCUUUGAGGGACACCUGGGUGGCUCAGCGGUUGAGUGUCUGCCUUCGUCUCAGGGCGUGAUUCCGGGAUCCGGGAUCGAGUCCCACAUCGGGCUCCUUGCGAGGAGCCUGCAUCUGCCUCUGCCUGUGUCUCUGUCCCUCUCUCUGUGUCUCUCA